UAAUGGGAAUGUAAGGGCGUAUGGUGGAUGCCUUGGCUCUGAAAAGCGAUGAAGGACGUAGCAUGGCUGCGAUAAGCUUCGGGGAGGUGCCUAGCAACCUUUGAUCCGGAGGUGUCCGAAUGGGGAAACCUCUCUGCCACUGGCAGAGAUUCCGAACUAGACGUCGGAAUGCUAACCUAGGGAAGUAAAACAUUUCAUUACCUAGAGGAAAAGAAAACAAAAAGUAUUUCCUAAGUAGCGGCGAGCGAAAAGGAAGAAGCCCAAACCUAGCACCAUUUUCACUCGAUCAUAUUAUGGUCGCGUGUAAGUGUUGCUGGGGGUUGUAAGGCAAUAAUUUCACUUCUUCGGAGGUGAGGAGAGUUACAAAGUGUUUCGUUAACGGAAUGCGCUGGAAAGCGCGACCCAAGAGGGCAAUCGUCCCGUACGUGAAAAUGAAACAUCUCUUCUGUUAUUGUUCUUGAGUACCUCGAGACACGAAUGGCUCGGGGGAAUCUGCCGGAACUAACCGGUAAGGCUAAAUAUUUUCAGAGACCGAUAGUGAACUAGUACCGUGAGGGAAAGGUGAAAAGCAGCCCGGUGAGGGCGGUGAAAUAGACCUGAAACCAUAUGUCUACAAGGAGUCGGCGAGGAAUUUAUUCCUCUACGGCGUGCCUAUUGAAGAAUGAGCCAACGAGUUUUAGCAUGCUGCGCGGCUAAGCCCGAGAGGGUGGAGCCACAGGGAAACCGAGUGUGAACAGCGCGUCAAGUAGUAUGCUAAAGACCCGAAGCCAAGUGAGCUUGUCAUGAGCAGGGUGAAUCUCGCCGAAAGGCGGGAGGAGGCCCGAACGGGUAAGCCGUGCAAUACUUUCCGAUGACUUGUGAUAAGAAGUGAAAAGCUAAUCGAACUUGGUAAUAGCUGGUUCUCUCCGAAAGAGCUUUUGGGUUCGCGUCGUAUGUUCCCGCGAGGGGUAGAGCACUGGAAGGUCUGGACAGGGCGAAAGCUCGCUAGACCUAUCAAACUCCGAAUACUCGCGGUUAAAAGUACGGCAGUUAGACUGCGGGGGCUAAGCUCCGUUGGUCAAAAGGGAAACAGCCCGGAUCUCUAUUUAAGGUCCCUAAAUUUAUGCUAAGUGCGCUUAAGGUGGUGGAGUUUCUCAGACACUGAGGAGGUUGGCUUAGAAGCAGCCAUCCUUUAAAGAAAGCGUAACAGCUCACUCAGUAAGAGAUUCUGCGCCGCAGAUUCACGGGGCUAAAGCAUAAUACCGAAAUUGAGGGCUCUCUUUUGCUUCGGCAGAAGGGAGCGGUAGGAGAGUUUUCGCGUCAGCAGUGAAGGCAAAGGGGUGACCCAUGCUGGAGCGUCGCGAAGUAAGAAUGUUGGCACAAGUAACCGCAAUGAAGGUGAGAAUCCUUCACGCCGAAAGAACAAGGUUUCCUUGGCGAUGUAGAUCAGCCAAGGGUUAGUCGGGCCUAAGGGAAUGGCGAAAGCCGCACCCGAUGGACACACGGUUAAUAUUCCGUGACUCCCGCGAUAUGCGAUGGGAUGACGGAGUCUAGUAUGAUUUGCGCAUUAUUGGAUUUGCGUUCGUGGUGUAAGGAUGUGUCCGAGGUAAAUCCCGGCACUCUCUUAAAUGAGGAAUCUAAGCUCAGCGAAAAUGCUCUGGUUCGCCAGGGUAAAUUUAUCAAAGCAGGCUUCCAAGAAAAAUCUCUAAGCUCUAGUAUCGCAGGAUCCGUACCGCAAACCGACACAGGUGUUCUGCUCGAGUAGAGUAAGGCGAACGAGUGAGAAAUCCCCAAGGAACUCGGCAAAAAAGCAGCCGUAACUUCGGAAUAAGGCUUUCCCCCAACAUACAGUCCUUUUUUAGGACUAAAAUAUUUGGGUGGCAGUCGGAUAAAAUGCAGAGGGUGGUAUGUUCGUCACCCGAACGUGUGUCUUAAGUGCGCGCGUGAGAAUGGGGCAUCAAAGUUGGGCAAGCGCUUGCCUACGAUGCUUGUGUUUUCAAAAGAUGAAACUGCCUCACGUAGUUUCAUUCGAAAGUUUUUCCGGUUGCCAACCAAACCCUCUUUCUAUUUUCUGAAAUGGAAGAAUGAAAGAGGACUGUAUGUUGGGGGACGCAGCUAAAGUAUCUCUGGCAACUGUUUAUCAAAAACACAGCUCCCUGCGAACUCGUAAGAGGAUGUAUAGGGGGUGACACCUGACCAAUGCCAGAAGGUCAAAUGAUGACGUUGUUUUGUCGCAAGAUAAAAUGGUGAUCGUCAUAAGCCCUGGUGAAUGUCGGCCGUAACUAUAACGGUCCUAAGGUAGAGAAUUUUUCGCAAGACAAAUUCUCUAGGACUGGGACUGUUAUAGGAAACGAUAAACAAAUUAAACACAUAAUCAUUACAUUUGAGAGCUACCUAUCAUGCCGAAAUGCAUGAAUAGUCCAUCGUGAUUAACGAGAGACCAACGUCACGGUCCCGAAAGCGUAAGCGAGGGAUAAGAGAGAGUCCAACUUGAGGAAUGGUUGAGCGAAAUUCCUUGUCGGGUAAGUUCCGACGCGCACGAAUGGUGUAAUGACUGGAGAACUGUCUCGGGGAUCCGCUCGGUGAAAAUACAAUACCGGUGAAGAUGCCGGUUACCUGCAGUUAGACGAAAAGACCCCAGGAGCUUUACUGCAACUUGAUAUUGAGAAUACGUUUUGCAUGCGUAGCAUAGUGGUGAGACUUUGAAGCGUCGCUUUCGGGUGACGUGGAGUCGUCAGUGAAAUAGCCAUCUUGCUGGAUGUAUUUUCUAACCUCGUCGGCAAAAACGACGAGAGACAGUAUCUGGCGGGCAGUUUUAGUGGGGCGCUAUCCUCCUAAAGAGUAACGGAGGAGUUUAUUAAGGUCAGCUAGGCGCGAAUGGAAACCGUGCCGAUAGUGUA
rfam:Candidatus Zambryskibacteria bacterium RIFCSPLOWO2_01_FTLL_43_17 rifcsplowo2_01_scaffold_12648, whole genome shotgun sequence.